CUGAACCAGCCAAGUAGCGUGAAGGAUGACUGCCAUAUGGGUUGUAAACUUCUUUUAUAAAGGAAUAAAGUCGGGUAUGCAUACCCGUUUGCAUGUACUUUAUGAAUAAGGAUCGGCUAACUCCGUGCCAGCAGCCGCGGUAAUACGGAGGAUCCGAGCGUUAUCCGGAUUUAUUGGGUUUAAAGGGAGCGUAGAUGGAUGUUUAAGUCAGUUGUGAAAGUUUGCGG
rnacentral:rRNA from 1 species